ACAAAAACAAGUGCUAGCGCUAAGACUAAAAAAAAACAAGAGAUGCAAGGUACAGGCGUAAUCAAAGGGAAAGGAUAAUAGACAUUGGUAUUCAGUGUGAUCGAUGGAGAAGAGUUAAAGAAGCUACUGGGAUUGAAAAGGACGAGAAAAUGAUGGAAAUAUUGAUCGAUGCAACUACUUCUGAACUAGAGAGCUUCAACAAUCAUCUUUUGAUACGCUCCAAACCAAAGCGAAAUGCUUUCAGCUAUGCAGGUGUCAGUUAGCAGCAAUAGAUUAUUCAAAACACUUGAAUCGUCCUGUUUUGUUGGACAAAGAAGGAAAUGAGAGGAGAAAAAAGGUGUACUCAAAAGCUGCUUGUAAUUGGAGCACAAAGCCUGUGAAAAAAACAUACCGGUACAUAACCGGUUUGAUCACUGAAGUUAUAAAUGAAUUCACCAUAGGCAAGAAAAGAAUAAGUGGCAAAUGUGAACAGCUGCCUGAAGACUCCAAAAGAAUUAGGUCAACUAUAGCCCCCGUCACCCCUCCACCUACAUCAAUACUUAGAGAUCAGCAUGUCUCUAGAUUGAGAAAAGCGAAAAAAUGAAUUGUUGCCCAAGACGUGUUUGAUAUUCAUUUGAAGUUGACGCAGAAGUUAUCUUUGUUAGAUAACUAUUAAGUUUCACAUCUUUAGUGUAAAUAUAAUUUUAGAAGUGUUUUGAAAAUGUACAAUCUUACAUUAUGUUAUAAAUAAUGAAUGCUCUUGGUUGUACAAUGCAAUUACAUUUUUUAGGAAGUUUUAAUAUUGAAUUUAGCAUAAAAUAUUUUUUUUAUGUUAUAUUUUGUGCGUUUUUUAUCAAUACAUUUUUAUGCUUCCCCAAAAUUUAUUUUGGGGGGAGCAUAUAGUUGCCUCUUCGUCUGUCCGUCCAUGUGUCCGUCUGUGCACAAUUUUUGUCCAGGCUAUUUCUCAGAAAGUAAUGACCGGAAUUCAAUGAAACUUUAUGGGAAGCUUCACUACCAAGAGGAGAUGUGCAUAUUAUCAGCCGGUUCUCUUCAGAUGAUUUUUUAACAGAGUUAUGGCCCUUUGAAAUUUUCCAUUGUACAUAUAGUGCAAUUCUUGUCCGGGCUAUUUCUCAGCAACUUAUUACAGUAAUUCAAUGAAACUUGAUGGGAAGCUUCACUACCAACAGGAGAUGUGCAUAUUAUCAGCCAGUUCUGGUCGGAUGAUUUUUCACAGAGUUAGUGCAAUUCUUGUCCGGGCUAUUUCUCCCCAACUACUGACCGGAAUUCAAUGAAGCUUUAAUCCAUCCAUCGUAUAAUUUUGUCCAAAGUUAUGCCCCUUAAGACGUUUCCUUUUAUCUGAAUAUAUAGUACAAUAUUGUGAAAAAAAAACUUUUGGGGAGCAUCACCAGUCUACACCGGUUUCUUGUUACACAUGUAAAGAACACAAUUUUUCUUACAAAAUGUUUAGUUUUUUGUUUGAUUAUCGAUAUGUGUUUUUCAUUGCCUUCUUUAUUACCUGUUUUUAAUAAACCAUUGUAGUCAAUGUC